rnacentral:rRNA from 1 species
AUACGUAGGGGGCGAGCGUUGUCCGGAAUUAUUGGGCGUAAAGGGUUCGCAGGCGGUCUGAUAAGUCAGAUGUGAAAGGCAAUGGCUCAACCAUUGUAAGCAUUUGAAACUGUCAGACUUGAGUUAAGGAGAGGAAAGUGGAAUUCCUAGUGUAGCGGUGAAAUGCGUAGAUAUUAGGAGGAAUACCAGUGGCGAAGGCGACUUUCUGGACUUAUACUGACGCUGAGGAACGAAAGCGUGGGGAGCAAACAGGAUUAGAUACCCUGGUAGUCCACGCCGUAAACGAUGAGCACUAGGUGUCGGGGCUGUAGAGUUUCGGUGCCGCAGUUAACGCAAUAAGUGCUCCGCCUGGGGAGUACGCACGCAAGUGUGAAACUCAAAUGAAUUGACGGGG